rnacentral:SRP_RNA from 1 species
GCCAGGCUUGGUGACAUGUACCUGUAGUCCCAGCUACUCAGGAGGCUGAGGUAGGAGUAUCACUUGAGCCCAAGAUUUCUGGGCUGUAGUACAAUAUAACGAUUGGGUGUCUACACCAAGUUUGGCAUCAUUAUGGUGACUUCCUGGGAGUGGGGGACCACCAGGCUUGCCUAAGGAGGGGUGAACCGGCCCAGGUUGGAAAUGGAGCAGGUCAGAACUCCCAUACCACUACACUCCAGCCUGGGCAACAUAGCGAGACUCAGUCUCU